rnacentral:rRNA from 1 species
AUUGAACGCUGGCGGCAGGCCUAACACAUGCAAGUCGAACGAGUGGCGGACGGGUGAGUAAUGUCUGGGAAACUGCCCGAUGGAGGGGGAUAACUACUUGAAACGGUAGCUAAUACCGCAUACCAUCGGAUGUGCCGAGAUGGGAUUAGCUAGUAGGUUGGGUAACGGCUCACCUUGGCGACGAGCCCUAGCUGGGCUGAGAGGAUGACCAGCCACACGGGAACUGAGACACGGUCCAGAGGCCUACGGGAGGAAGCAGUGGGGAAGAGUGGACAAUGGGCGAAAGCCUGAUGCAGCCAUGCCGCGUGUAUGAAGAAGGCCUUCGGGUUGUAAAGUACUUUCAGCGAGGAGGCGGUACUCGCAGAAGAAGCACCGGCUAACUCCGUGCCAGCAGCCGCGGUAAUUC